GAUGAACGCUGGCGGCGUGCUUAACACAUGCAAGUCGAACGGAAAGGCCCAAGCUUGCUUGGGUACUCGAGUGGCGAACGGGUGAGUAACACGUGGGUGAUCUGCCCUGCACUUCGGGAUAAGCCUGGGAAACUGGGUCUAAUACCGGAUAGGACCACAUUUUGGAUGGUGUGGUGGAAAGUUUUUCGGUGUGGGAUGAGCUCGCGGCCUAUCAGCUUGUUGGUGGGGUAAUGGCCUACCAAGGCGUCGACGGGUAGCCGGCCUGGGAGGGUGUACGGCCACAUUGGGACUGAGAUACGGCCCAGACUCCUACGGGAGGCGGCAGUGGGGAAUAUUGCACAAUGGGCGCAAGCCUGAUGCAGCGACGCCGCGUGGGGGAUGACGGCCUUCGGGUUGUAAACUCCUUUCGCUAGGGACGAAGCGUUAUGUGACGGUACCUGGAGAAGAAGCACCGGCUAACUACGUG
rnacentral:rRNA from 1 species